UACGUAGGGGGCAAGCGUUGUCCGGAAUCAUUGGGCGUAAAGAGCGUGUAGGCGGCUUGGUAAGUCCGCUGUGAAAGUCCAGGGCUCAACCCUGGAAUGCCGGUGGAAACUGUCGAGCUUGAGUCCGGAAGAGGCGAGUGGAAUUCCUGGUGUAGCGGUGAAAUGCGCAGAUAUCAGGAGGAACACCAAUGGCGAAGGCAGCUCGCUGGGACGGUACUGACGCUGAGACGCGAAAGCGUGGGGAGCAAACAGG
rnacentral:rRNA from 1 species